AAUACCGAAUAAACCUUGCACUCUACCGUGUAAUCAGAAUAUGACAAACAAUAUACAAUGCAUCGGAAAACAACUUUGCAAGGCAGCGUUGUACUGUAUUAGUGCGCCAGUUAUUACAGAGGAGCAGUGCACAAAGAAAAAACGAAGACGGUGAAAGUUUUAUUUGUGAUUGUUUAUGAACAUAAUUUUUUUUUAAACAAAUGAUUUGAUUGAACUAGUAGCUCAGUCUAUUUGCUUGAUUGAACUAGUGGCUCAAUCUCCUAGCUGAACAUCCAAUAUUGGAGAAACGUUGCCCUUUCAAAGGAGAAGAAUCCAGAGGGGGAUAAUGGAACUGGACACAAAACCACUGCACCCAUCCGAAGAGUCGCCCACCUUGGGGAUAAUCAUCAAAUAUGUUUUCGUCGUGUGGAGCGUCGUACUCAUUCUGAUGGGUGCAAGCGCUUUUGGUGCAGGGGUAUGGAUCUUGAUGGAUGAAAAGUACUCGUUGAAUCUCAUCCAGGCUGUAACCUCCGUUCUGGUCUUCUCUGGAGGCAUGCUCUUCAUCUUGGGAUUCUUAGCCACCUGUGCGGCCUUGCUGGAACAUAAGGGGAUGCUCAUUGUAUACAUCGUCAUAUUGAUGGUUUUGCUGUGUAGCCAAGGAACAGCGUCUGUAAUAAUGGUAGUGAAGUGGAAAGCGAUUGAGAAUGAAUUAAAUGAGAAUCUGGUGAAAAAUGUGGAGGAAAACUACGACGGAAAGGUGAAGAGCGCCAGUGUAUUCAGUGCGGCACUUGACUGGACACAAGUCACUUUAUAUUGCUGCGGCAUCAACAAGUUCUCGGAAUUUCAGAAGGCCAAGAACUGGAAAGCCAGGGAAACCAAGAUGGUUCCCGAGACUUGCUGUAUUCUCACAAACCGGGACAAGUUCUUCUUGAAGGAGAAGCCAAAAGUAAAAGUCCGUACUUGUCCACAAGAUCCAACAGCCACUGAUUCCUAUAUCAGUACAGAGUGGUUUGUUCUUUGUUGAGUGGAGUGUUUGUAGAGCUCUCUGAUCUUGCAGCUGCUCUCAGUGACCAAGUGACAAAGCACUGAAAUAUGCAGAACAGUGUUUUCAACAAUCACAAAUCCUCCCAACAUGGUACACACCAUUCCUUGAGAUUGGUCAUCAAGCAGCAAACAUUAGUAGGACAAAGCCAUGCUUUAACGGGAUCAAAGAGCUAUUGAUGGAGAAGUGGAAGCUGUUCCUUGGAGUUCUUUGUGUCGUUUUAAUCUUCGAG
rnacentral:misc_RNA from 1 species